GUGCUCGCUUCGGCAGCAUAUGUAUUACAAUUGGAACGAUACAGAGAAGAUUAGCAUGGCCCCUGGAAGGGAUGGCAUGCAAAUUUGUGAAGCAUUCCAUAUUUUU